GCGCUGGUGGUGUAAGGAAUAGCAUCGCUGCCCGGAAAGCAGAAGAUGCGGGUUCGAGUCCCGCCUGGCGCA
rnacentral:tRNA from 1 species